UGGGGAAUUUUGGACAAUGGGGGCAACCCUGAUCCAGCCAUGCCGCGUGAGUGAAGAAGGCCUUCGGGUUGUAAAGCUCUUUCGGCGGGGACGAAACGGUCCGUGACAACACCACGGACUAAUGACGGUACUCGCAGAAGAAGCACCGGCUAACUACGUGCCAGCAGCCGCGGUAAUACGUAGGGUGCAGGCGUUAAUCGGAAUUACUGGGCGUAAAGUGUGCGCAGGCGGCUCCUUAAGUCAGAUGUGAAAUCCCCGGGCUUAACCUGGGAACUGCGUUUGGAACUGGGGAGCUAGAGUGUGGAAGAGGGGGGUGGAAUUCCAGGUGUAGCAGUGAAAUGCGUAGAUAUCUGGAGGAACACCGAUGGCGAAGGCAGCCCCCUGGGCUAACACUGACGCUCAUGCACGAAAGCGUGGGGAGCAAACAGGAUUAGAUACCCUGGUACGUCCACG
rnacentral:rRNA from 1 species